UACAGAGGGUGCGAGCGUUAAUCGGAUUUACUGGGCGUAAAGGGCGCGUAGGCGGAUAUGUGCGUCGGGUGUGAAAGCCCCAGGCUCAACCUGGGAAUAGCAUUCGAUACGGCAAAUCUAGAGUGCGAGAAGAGGAAACGGAAUGGCGAGUGGAGCAGUGAAAUGCGUUGAUAUUCGUUGGAACACCGGAGGCGAAGGCGGUUUCCUAGCUCGUAACUGACGCUGAGGCGCGAAAGUGUGGGGAGCAAACAGG
rnacentral:rRNA from 1 species